rnacentral:rRNA from 1 species
GCGCAGCAGUCGCGAAUUCUUCUCAAUGGGGGCAACCCUGAAGGAGCGACGCCGCGUGGAGGAUGAAGGCUUUCGGGUUGUAAACUCCUGUCAUUUGAGAACAAGUGUAGCCAAAUAACUACUGGCUACUUGAUAGUAUCAGAAGAGGAAGGGACGGCUAACUCUGUGCCAGCAGCCGCGGUAAUACAGAGGUCCCAAGCGUUGUUCGGAUUCAUUGGGCGUAAAGGGUGCGUAGGUGGCGCCGUAAGUGGGGUGUGAAAUUUCGGAGCUUAACUCCGAAACUGCAUUCCAUACUGCGGUGCUUGAGGACUGGAGAGGGGACUGGAAUUCAUGGUGUAGCAGUGAAAUGCGUAGAGAUCAUGAGGAAGACCAGUGGCGAAGGCGGGUCUCUGGACAGUUCCUGACACUGAGGCACGAAGGCUAGGGGAGCGAACGGGAUUAGAUACCCGGGUAGU